UACGGAGGAUGCGAGCGUUAUCCGGAUUUAUUGGGUUUAAAGGGUGCGUAGGCGGAUCGUUAAGUCAGUGGUCAAAUUGAGGGGCUCAACCCCUUCCCGCCAUUGAAACUGGCGAUCUUGAGUGGAAGAGAAGUAUGCGGAAUGCGUGGUGUAGCGGCGAAAUGCAUAGAUAUCACGCAGAACCCCGAUUGCGAAGGCAGCAUGCCGGCUUCCUACUGACGCUGAAGCACGAAAGCGUGGGGAUCGAACAGG
rnacentral:rRNA from 1 species